GACGAACGCUGGCGGCGUGCUUAACACAUGCAAGUCGAACGGGUCUGCCCUGUUUUUUGCGGGGUGGGUCAGCGGCGAACGGGUGAGUAACACGUGAGUAACCUGCCCCUCACUUCUGGAUAACCGCUUGAAAGGGUGGCUAAUACGGGGUGUUCUGGCUGUGCCGCAUGGUGUGGCUGGGAAAGAUUCACUUUUGUGGUGUUUUGGUGGGGGAUGGGCUCGCGGCCUAUCAGCUUGUUGGUGGGGUGAUGGCCUGCCAAGGCUUUGACGGGUAGCCGGCCUGGGAGGGUGGGCGGUCACACUGGGACUGAGAUACGGCCCAGACUCCUGCGGGAGGCAGCAGUGGGGGGUAUUGCACAAUGGGCGGAAGCCUGAUGCAGCGACGUCGCGUGAGGGAUGGAGGCCUUCGGGUUGUGAACCUCUUUCGCCGGUGAAGAAGGUCCUGCUCUUUGUGGUGGGGUUGACGGUAGCCGGGUUAUGAAGCGCCGGCUAACUACGUG
rnacentral:rRNA from 1 species